rnacentral:lncRNA from 10 species
AGCCUCAAGGUCGGCGAUACCCUGAGCAUUCGGGCCCCCGCCUGCAGGACUCGCUCCUGCCAGCCAAGGACUCAAGAAGGAGGGAGUCCCCAGUCCCGGCGGGGCGCCUGGGAUUCGGUUCAAUAUUUAGCACAGUCAGUACCGAAGCAGGGGCAGCCAGGUGGGAGCUGGGCGCCCAAAAGUUGGACCCCAAUCAGCAGCGAGUGGGCAGCGGGGGCCUGGCUCGCCCGCGCCCGCGCCCCGGAGCUCUCCGGCUGGCUCUCUGCUCCCCGAAGCUGGGGAGCCGGGGGCGCUCUCCCGGGCCGCAAGCAGGCACGGAAUUUGACGCCCGAGAGGCAGAUGGUCCUGGCUAGGACUCCUGAUUCUUCUCAGAUGGAAACAGUUUCUCCCGGUGAACCUGCCGGAAUUCUCAGUGGACUCGAUCUUCAGCUUUGUCCACUGGCGCAUUUCACCAAGGCCGCAUUUACCGCUUUGAGGCAAAUUUGAGCUUCAAAUGGAGCGGGACUCCUGGUUGCAGAACGAGGGUGUGGGAAUGCGCAUCUGCAAGACCAGAGGAUGCAGAGCUUGCAGGAAGGAGGAAACUCACUAGGUUCAGAUUCUUGCUGAGAGAACUACAAAAGGAUGGACUCCAGCAAGAGGAAAAAUGAAUCUAAGGAAUGGAGUGGGAUAUAAGCAAUAACAGUGAGGAGGAGGAAGAGAAGCAGAAGAGCAGCUGGAGGCCGGCGGUGGCUGAGCAGCCCCCACACCUUUGAGCGAGCCGCCUGCCUCUCCACCGGCAA